ACCAAGAAGUACUAUAAUAUUAACUUGAGAUAUGAAUGAAUGAAAGAAUUGAACCAUGAUAAAACGCGACAUGCACUACAAAUUGAAGGUAUGAAAUUAAGUUAAAUGAAAGCUCGUUUAUUCACCAUAUGAUGCUCGUUAUGAGGUAAUCAUAUAGGCUAGAUACCGUGAGUUAACGAGGUCGUUUACAUGCACGUGAGUCCACGGAUAUCGGUUAAUUAUUCAAAUUACUGAAAAACACGGAGAAAACCGCAACCGCAUCGUCAUGUGUUUUUUUUAAGAUGUAUGCAAACGGGAAAUAUCGCCAAACCAACAAUUCAUUUUACCUCAGAAUAUAUCAUCAUUUGUAUAUGCACAGAUUGGAUGCAUUGUGUGUUGUAAGCUUUUCGUGGCUCUAGAUGUCAGACAGAUGCAAAUAGCAAAUACAUACGAAAGUGUAAAACGUGUAUGGCGAACAUUUGUUUUUCUAUCAUUAUAGAUGCUAGUUUGGUGAAAGUACACACUGAGUGCUUCAAAUCAUUCAGAAGAUAUUAGGGUUAGGGCAGUUUUUAGGGCAGUUUAUUAAAGAAGACCUGACAUGGAUGACUUCCAAUGAGAAACGACUGCUACUUAUAUAAAUUCAUUACAGAAGGACCCUACCAGACUAUAUUUGAAUACGGCAUACCCAUGAAUUCUGGAACUGUUAUUUCUUAACCCAGUUUGGAGGAUAAGAGCUUACCAACUAGUUAUAAAUAUGCUGAGGUGAUGUAUUGCAAAAUAGCCCACAUACAACAAUUAAAGGAUAAUUGCAGACUAUAUCCUGAUGAAGAUAUGGAUGACCCUCUGUCUGGUCAACAGGAGUUUAAAUAUGGAUGGGACAGUGAUGUGGCAGCUCUUCCCUGACUCAUUCACCUCUUGCCUUCAUUUGUGAAGGGACGAAAGACUGGAGAGGGUCAAUGUGCAUCUGAAGCUACUGAUUGUGCUGUGUGAUGAGCAUCAAUCCAUGCUUUGAGGGGGAUGAAUCAGCACAGCCCUGCCUGCUCUGCGUUGGGAACAAAAGUUGCAUCCAGAAUUUUUGCAUCAUUCUGGACCAAAAAGCCAUUCCCUCCAUGAUGAAGACCACUGAUGCAGCCUUCCACUACAUCAUGAGUAAAACAACUACAGAACUUAAUACCAGGUUGGAACGUGUUUAAGAAAAAUGAAACGUCUUUUGAAUUGAAAUGUCUGUUUUGUUAUGGAAAAAUCGUUAGUUUUGUGAAGGAUAAGCAUUUCUGCUUGCCGAUAAGGUAAUUGCAUGUAUUUUAAUGUUCAAGUUUUGAGUAGGGUGGCAAUUUUUUUUUAACUCUCAUUUGAUUUAUUAAAGACUUUAUAAUAAGUGGUUUUCAUGUCACUGAGCUGUGCUAUAAGAUAACUUUCAUUAUUCCAUACUGUAUUCUGUUUCUAAUUGUAGCUGAGGUAUUUAAAUAAGCAGUGUUAAAUGCUAAGUGUUGUGUGUAUCAAUGUAAAUAUUAAAUGUGAUGUACAUUAAUAAAAAGAGGUUUUGCAAUA